rnacentral:rRNA from 1 species
GGCCCAAAUCUAUAUGGCCUCUGGAUUGGACUGCGGCCGAUCAGGCUGUUGGUGAGGUAAUGGCCCACCAAACCUUUUACCGGUACGGGCUCUGAGAGGAGGAGCCCGGAGAUGGGCACUGAGACAAGGGCCCAGGCCCUAUGGGGCGCAGCAGGCGCGAAACCUCUGCAAUAGGCGAAAGCCUGACAGGGUUACUCUGAGUGAUUCCCGCUAAGGGAAUCUUUUGGCAUCUCUAAAAAUGGUGCAGAAUAAGGGGUGGGCAAGUCUGGUGUCAGCCGCCGCGGUAAUACCAGCACCCCGAGUGGUCGGGACGAUUAUUGGGCCUAAAGCAUCCGUAGCCGGUCUUGCAAGUCUUCCGUUAAAUCCAGCUGCUUAACAGAUGGGCUGCGGAGGAUACUACAAGGCUAGGAGGCGGGAGAGGCAAGCGGUACUCAGUGGGUAGGGGUAAAAUCCUCUGAUCCAUUGAAGACCACCAGUGGCGAAGGCGGCUUGCCAGAACGCGCUCGACGGUGAGGGAUGAAAGCUGGGGGAGCAAACCGGAUUAGAUACCCGGGUAGUCCCAGCUGUAAACGAUGCAGACUCGGUGAUGGGCCGGCUUUAUGCCGGCUCAGUGCCGCAGGGAAGCCGUUAAGUCUGCCGCCUGGGGAGUACGGUCGCAAGACUGAAACUUAAAGG